rnacentral:rRNA from 1 species
UACGUAGGGGGCAAGCGCUGUCCGGAUUUAUUGGGCGUAAAGAGCGUGUAGGCGGCCAGGUAGGUCUGCUGUGAAAACUCGAGGCUCAACCUCGAGAUGUCGGCGGAAACCAUCUGGCUAGAGUCCGGAAGAGGAGAAUGGAAUUCCCGGUGUAGCGGUGAAAUGCGCAGAUAUCGGGAAGAACACCCGUGGCGAAGGCGGUUCUCUGGGACGGUACUGACGCUGAGACGCGAAAGCGUGGGGAGCGAACAGG